ensembl:lncRNA
CUUCCACCUUACUCAUAUUCAAGUGAGAAGCUCAAAGUGUACCUGAAAUGGGAAUGAAGAAGAAAAGACCUUGUACUGAGGAAGGAAAGUGCCUCUCACAUAACUGCUUGGUGAUGGAUGGCAGUGGGCGGUGCCCAGAGUGGACAAUUCAGGAGAAGUGUCGAGAUGAACUGGAUGCAGAACGCACAGUGAGACCCUCAGUGGUCCUCAGGUGUGGAUGCCUAAACAGCAGCAGCAGCUCUUGGGAGACUCCUGGAAAAGUGACCUGGGGGACCAGACCAGACCACGUGACUGGGAACUUUGGGACAGGACCCAAGAAGCUGUAGCCCAAUGAACCAGGCCUGUAGGUGUCCUGGUACAUACUCAAGAUCCAGACACUCUGCUCUGAGCUGUAGAUGAGCAUCACCAAGUGGAGCACAUGAACCUCAGGUCAUCAGAGUCUCUCACAUCUAAAGGGAAGUG